UACGUAGGGGGCAAGCGUUGUCCGGAAUCAUUGGGCGUAAAGGGCGCGCAGGCGGCUACGCACGUCCGUUGUGAAAUCGCUCGGCUCAACUGGGCGGGGUCAGCGGAUACGGCGUAGCUGGAGCAAGCUAGGGGGCAAUGGAAUUCCCGGUGUAGUGGUGGAAUGCGUAGAUAUCGGGAGGAACACCAGUGGCGAAGGCGGUUGCCUGGAGCUUUGCUGACGCUGAGGCGCGAAAGCGUGGGGAGCGAUCCGG
rnacentral:rRNA from 1 species